UCUAAGUGGGUGGUGAACUCCAUCUAACGCUAAAUAUGACCACGAGACCGAUAGCGAACAAGUACCGUGAGGGAAAGUUGAAAAGAACUUUGAAAAGAGAGUUCAAGAGUACGUGAAACCGUUCAGAGGUGAACCUGAGAAACUCGAAAGAUCAAACGGGGAGUUCCAUCGUGAGCGACGCAGGCUUAGCUGCGGCUCGUGAUGUCGGGUCCUCGCGUCCACGGCAGUCGGUCGCGGUGCAAUGUCUGGCGGUGCCGGCGCGCACUUCUUCCUCAGUAGGAUGUCGCGACCCGUUGGGCGUCGGUCUCAGGCCCGGUCGGCUGCCUGUCUCGGCAUUCUCGUCGGGGCAGACCCGGGGUUGCCCGUCCGGCUGCCCGGCGAUACCCGUACGGUAUAGCGUCGCAUUGAGCUGCGUCGGGCCCGCCGCAACCGUGGUCAGCGAUUCCCGGUGGUCAGACCUAGCGCCGUCUACGAGCCUGGCCAGCUGUUGGCUGGCGGUGUCCUCUGGCCGGCUCGUUCGAAUUAUCUAAUACCGGUCGGCGACGGUAUAGCUUUGGGUACUUUCAGGACCCGUCUUGAAACCUGGACCAAGGAGUCCAACGUGUGCGCGAGUUAUUGGGACGAGCAAACCUGAAGGCCUAAUGAAAGUGAAGGUCAGUCGAGCGCUGACCGAGGGAGGAUGGGCCGCGUCAAGAUGCGGCCCUGCACUCCCGCGGCAUCUUGUUCUCACUGCGAGAAGAGGCAAACCCAGAGCGUACACGUUGAGACGCGAAAUAUGGUGAACUAUGCCUGGACAGGACGGAGUCAGGGGAAACCCCGAUAGAGGUCCGUAGCGAUUCUGACGUGCAAAUUGAUCGCCGGAAGUAGGUAUAGGCGCUAACGACUAAUCGAACCAUCUAGUGGGUGGUUCCUUCUGAAGUUUCCCUGAGGAUAGCUGGCACUCGCGUACAAAACAUUCACGAAUCUCAUCCGGUAACGCGAAUGAUUAGAGGCCUUAGGGCCAAAAUGACCUCAACCUAUUCUCAAACUUCGAAUGGUUAAGAUCACUGGUUUGCUUGAACUAUGAAGCCACAAGAUCUCGGAUCAGAGUGCCGAGUGGGCUACUUUCGGUGAGUAGAGCUGGCGCUGUGGGAUGAACCAAACGCCCAGUUAAGGCGCCAAGGUCGAUGCUUAUGGGAUACCAUAAAGGGCGUUGGUUGCCUAAGACAGCAGGACGGUGGCCAUGGAAGUCAGAAUCCGCUAAAGAGUGUGUAACAACUCACUCGCCGGAGCAACUAGCCCUGAAAAUGAAUGGCCCUGAAGCGUUGCGCCUAUACUCGGCUAAUAGCGGCAUACGAGGUGGCCUAGGCCGCGCCAUUGGCCGUGAUGAAGCCCUGACGAGUAUGAGGUCGCGGCGGUGUGCGCAGAAGGGACUGGACAUGAGCCUGCCUAAAGCUGUCGUCGGUGCAGAUCUUAGUGGUAGUAGCAAAUACUCCAGCGAGGCCCUG